rnacentral:rRNA from 1 species
ACAGUGUCUGGUGGGUAGUUUGACUGGGGCGGUCUCCUCCUAAAGAGUAACGGAGGAGCACGAAGGUUAGCUAAUCCUGGUCGGACAUCAGGAGGUUAGUGCAAAGGCAUAAGCUAGCUUGACUGCGAGCGUGACGGCGCGAGCAGGUGCGAAAGCAGGUCUUAGUGAUCCGGUGGUUCUGAAUGGAAGGGCCAUCGCUCAACGGAUAAAAGGUACUCCGGGGAUAACAGGCUGAUACCGCCCAAGAGUUCAUAUCGACGGCGGUGUUUGGCACCUCGAUGUCGGCUCAUCACAUCCUGGGGCUGAAGUAGGUCCCAAGGGUAUGGCUGUUCGCCAUUUAAAGUGGUACGCGAGCUGGGUUUAGAACGUCGUGAGACAGUUCGGUCCCUAUCUGCCGUGGGCGCUGGAGAAUUGAGGGGGGCUGCUCCUAGUACGAGAGGACCGGAGUGGACGCAUCACUGGUGUUCGGGUUGUCAUGCCAAUGGCACUGCCCGGUAGCUAAAUGCGGAAGAGAUAAGUGCUGAAAGCAUCUAAGCACGAAACUUGCCCCGAGAUGAGUUCUCCCUGACCCUUUAAGGGUCCUGAAGGAACGUUGAAGACGACGACGUUGAUAGGCCGGGUGUGUAAGCGCAGCGAUGCGUUGAGCUAACCGGUACUAAUGAACCGUGAGGCUUAAC